rnacentral:lncRNA from 10 species
GAUGCAGACCUCAAGCCUUAAGAAAAGCAAUCUCAAAAAUCUUGCUGAGGUGGAUCUUGAGGAUGCUGUUGCAUAUUAAAAGUCUAAGCAGUCAGGGACAUUUGAAAUGGCAGUAGUUAUGACACAGCACUUUAGGUUCAUAGCAAUUCAUAAGCAUUAUGUUCUGGAUAACUAGAAACUUCACGUCACAAUCAUCUACAAUGUAUGCAGCAUUUAGCUGUGAGUUCAGGCAGUGUACAGAAUCAUGUGGAAAAGAUCAUAAGUAUCAUACAAGCUGUGCUUCAAGUUAUAUUCACUUACCUAAAUGUGGCCAGUGACUAUUCUGGAUAUUUUGCAGAAUAUCCAGAUACGUUGUGAAAUGUAUUGUUGCCAAACUUGAAAAACAUACCAUUAUGUCAGGGAAUGUGGUGACGGAGGAUGGCAGAAGAGUUUCUUCUUUCUGGAGCACAAACAAUCUAAGUAGAUAUAAGCCCAGGCUCUGUGUGUACUAGUUGCGCCAAAACGUUGGUGGACUACCCUUGGUUGUGCAAAGUGAUGGAAUGUGCUGAAUCUGCUUUCAUUCUGAAGGGGCAAAUCAUCUCAGAUGGAGGCUGCUGGAGUGCACACCUUAGGAUCUGGUAGCUAAAACUUUGGAUCUGGGGAAGACUUUGCUAUGUAAGGAGUGAUGCUUUCAAGCCGUACAGAUCAUGCUAAAGAAGUGAUAGAUAAGAAUGGUCAGCUCAAGUUCUAUGGGAUGACCUUUGAAAGAGCAAUGAAAAAAAAUGCAGGAGGAGUUGCUAAAUAUAGAGUAUCAGAACACAAGACUAUGGAAGGAACAUAGAAAACAAUAUUCUGGAUACUA